AUUGAACGCUGGCGGCAGGCCUAACACAUGCAAGUCGAGCGGAUGAAGAGAGCUUGCUCUCUGAUUUAGCGGCGGACGGGUGAGUAAUGCCUAGGAAUCUGCCUGGUAGUGGGGGAUAACGUUCCGAAAGGAACGCUAAUACCGCAUACGUCCUACGGGAGAAAGCAGGGGACCUUCGGGCCUUGCGAUAUCAGAUGAGCCUAGGUCGGAUUAGCUAGUUGGUGAGGUAAUGGCUCACCAAGGCGACGAUCCGUAACUGGUCUGAGAGGAUGAGCAGUCACACUGGAACUGAGACACGGUCCAGACUCCUACGGGAGGCAGCAGUGGGGAAUAUUGGACAAUGGGCGAAAGCCUGAUCCAGCCAUGCCGCGUGUGUGAAGAAGGUCUUCGGAUUGUAAAGCACUUUAAGUUGGGAGGAAGGGCAGUAAGUUAAUACCUUGCUGUUUUGACGUUACCGACAGAAUAAGCACCGGCUAACUUCGUGCCAGCCGCCGCAGUAAAAC
rnacentral:rRNA from 1 species